AUUUAUGUAGUUUAACACAAAAAACAUUACAUUUUCACUGUAAAAAUAUUAUUAAAUAUAAUCAUAAAAG
rnacentral:tRNA from 1 species